UUGGAGGGCAAGUCUGGUGCCAGCAGCCGCGGUAAUUCCAGCUCCAAUAGCGUAUAUUAAAGUUGUUGCAGUUAAAAAGCUCGUAGUUGAAUUUCGAGACCGGUUUAUUGGUCGUGCUUUUGUACGUACUGGUAUUAUUGGUUUCUCCUUUCUGACGAAUCUUAAUGCCAUUAAUUUGGUGUUUUGGGGAAUCAGGACUGUUACUUUGAAAAAAUUAGAGUGUUUAAAGCAGGCUCACGCUUGAAUACAUUAGCAUGGAAUAACGGAAUAGGACGUUUGAUUCUAUUUUGUUGGUUUCUAGGAUCGACGUAAUGAUUAAUAGGGAUAGUUGGGGGCAUUAGUAUUCAAUUGUCAGAGGUGAAAUUCUUGGAUUUAUUGAAGACUAACUACUGCGAAAGCAUUUGCCCAGGAUGUUUUCAUUAAUCAAGAACGAAAGUUAGGGGAUCGAAGACGAUCAGAUACCGUCGUAGUCUUAACCAUAAACUAUGCCGACUAGGGAUCGGAUGAUGUUAAUUUUUUAAUGACUCAGUCGGCGCCUUACGGGAAACCAAAGUGUUUGGGUUC
rnacentral:rRNA from 1 species